rnacentral:lncRNA from 1 species
AUCUGACGUACUUGGGUUUCAAUUUUUAAGUUGACGUUGCAAAUUAAGUUGCUCCACAUAUGCCACUUGCCACAAAUUAAAGAGCAACUUAUUAUUACUUACAUUUUUGCACUCUACAGCUUGUGUGGAUUUGGGUUGUUGAAGCCUUACGAAUGGUCUCACAUCAUUCACACCGUCCAUGAAAUGUUUUGAUCAGGACUUUUCCCCUCUCUCUCAAAAUGACUUAUUAUAUCAUUUUCAAAGACCAAUUGACUGUCUGAAGAUAUACGAUGUGGGGUUGAGGCACUCGCUAAGCAUCUAACGUAUUCAACCAGGUUGGAUUAAUGUAAAUUACAGAGCACAG